UUUUCUCUCACUGUUGUUACUGCACAGCCACACCUGCGCUGCAUUGUUGCAUCUGCUAUUAUUUUAUCGAGGCUUAGAUUGUCGCUGAAGCGAGAAUUUAAUUUGGUAUGCUUCGAUGAAAAAGGAUUGUAUCUUUCACGGGCUUCGAUUCGGUUAAUUUAUCUUUCUCAAGCUGGAGUUCCUUUCGAAUUUCGCAGACGCCAAUGGGCGAACAAGGACGUGAGGAACUUCGCAGGCAGGACUGCGUACGACGUGGCGGCGGAGAACAGGCAUGCGGGCGUGUUCGACGCGCGGGGGCUCGGGGACGGGCUGUGAACGCAGGCGAGGAGGGGGAAGGUGAGGAACAUCCAACGACUGAUUGAGGCGGGCAUGCUAACAUGGCGGAGGUGUUGUUGAAGAAGGGGGCGGAUGUUGAGGCGAGAACUAACAAAGCCGUGACGACGCUGUAGAUUGCGGAGGUGCUGGGUUACGUCGGGAUUACAAGGGUGCUGGUUAGUGGGAGGUCAAGCUAAUGUAGAGAGGAAGCUUUCCUUCGUUCCAGCAAUAGGAUUUCUUGUAGGUUCGUAUGGCCUAACUUGGGCCUGAAGAACUCAAGCAAGAUAUCAAAGCUACCAAUACUAAACAGUCCUUUAACAGAUUCAUCUUCCAUUCCUGGACCUUUUCAGAAGCUAAGGUUUAUUUCUACUAAUGAAUGCAUAAUCUAUGCAAUAGUUAUGUAGAUUUUUCUCUCCGAUUUCAAUCACUUGAAAGCUGUGGACCACUGCUUUCACUUGCAACAUGUAAGACCCAAAAAAUUAAAUAAAUAAGUAAAUAUUUAUUUACAAUAAUUGUGGAUUAGAAGUAUAUCUAAAAGAACUAUUUUGUCAAAUUAUAACAAAGAAUAGUGGUAGCUCAAGUUGUUGAGAGUACUUGGUUAUGUUGGAAAGUCUUGAGUUCGAAUCUUGCAUAUGUCAUUAGUGUGAUAUUCUAAUUAUUUAUUUUAUUUUGCAUAUUGGUCGUGUGAUGUGUUAUUAUAUUUAUGUAUAUGCGUGAAUAUGUCAGGAAAUAUGUAAUGGCUUGUUGAUGGAUGGUCCAUGAACCUAGCCACACUUUAUGGGAGUUAGAGGAGUAGUAUAUUUAUGGGAUUUUAUGGGCAAAAACUCACGUGUUAAUGCCAAUUGAUGACCAGUAAACUUUUAUUUUCGUUUUUAAUUAGUUUAUUAAUUUUUUUUGGCUGAAAAUUAAUUGAAGGGGUUAAUUAGUUAAGAAUUGGGAGAAAAUUCGUGUGGCUAUUAGUACUGAAUUUUUAGAGCACCAAAUUUUUAGAGCAUCAAAAGGAGACCUAAGGAGAGUUUAGAGAGAUAGGAAGGUUCUUGGAGUUAGAGGCAAAGGUUAAAGAUUUUUCUGGGUAAGGAGAAGCAUCUAGGAGGUCAUCUUUAGCGUGAGCAAGGGUGGAGCAGUGGGAAAAGUGGUAAGGGGAGCUUAACUGUGUUUUUUUUUUCUCAACUUUGUGUUCUGUGGUUUUAUUCAACAAGUGUGUACUGUUUUAUUUGGUGUAGUAGUGUCUCUUCUCCAUUUGGUUUCCACUAUUACGUUAGAGGGCAGAGAGAGUUUGUGUAAUCGUGUUUUUGAUGCUGAUGAAAGCAUGUAGAAAGGUCCUGACUGCAACACCAAUGAAAGCAGCGUUAUUCAUUGUUUUUGAUGUCGAUGGAGGUGAUUUCACUGUGUUGUGUUUCAUCAUGACCUAAGUUUGGCUUAGGAUUAAAUGUUAACAUUCUAAAUAAUGAAGAGCAAAAUAUCAAAGUUGGUGUACAUGUCAGAGUAUAAUCAAG